UACAGAGGGGGCAAGCGUUAUUCGGAAUUAUUGGGCGUAAAGGGCGCGUAGGCGGCUUUGCAAGUGACGGGUGAAAUCCCUCGGCUUAACCGAGGAACUGCCUGUCAAACUGCAUGGCUUGAGACCGGGAGAGGUGAGUGGAAUUCCGAGUGUAGAGGUGAAAUUCGUAGAUAUUCGGAAGAACACCAGUGGCGAAGGCGGCUCACUGGACCGGCAUUGACGCUGAGGUGCGAAAGCGUGGGGAGCAAACAGG
rnacentral:rRNA from 1 species